UGCGCUCUUACAAUUUUUGUUGGCUACAUGCGAGAUACCUUGCAAUAGAGAAUGCUGUAUAGUACCUAUAACGCGUUUCAGCAAGGCGAGAUAUUAUGUUUGGUCCGUUACAGACACACACACACACACACACACACACACACACACACACACACACACACACACACACACACGGACAUGGGCAAUCCUACAGGUCGGGGCCCCCCUGGGCGCUUCGCGCUGGGGCCCCGCCCAAAAAGCACAGUAUGACCAUCAACGUCGACCGAGCAGAGAGAGCGACCACGAGGAACCGUUAAGUUACAUUCCGAGUCAAAGCCCGGUUUGACAGCAACGGCAUCAAAAGAAAAACGGCGUCCAACUGCACUCUCAAACUCUGCCAACACAGCGGGUCUAACCGCGUGGACCAAAGAACGAAUCCCCGCAAAAGGAAACUCAGGGUAGUAUCCCUCAAUACCGCCCUGAGCAAAUUCCUAGCACAGCCCCGCUUCACACAACCUUUUGAGAGCGGGACAGUCGUCCUAGAGGUGGUCAGGACUAACCACCUCACAACAAAAACAGACGGCCUUACCGCCCGUGCGCCAUCGGAGAAUUCCCACCUCCCCGUGCGUCAACCUACGGCCGAACUGGUUGACCCACUUGGUCAACUCGCAAGCUUUCGCCAACAGAGUGGUGGACUCUCCGCCAGCCAGUGCACUGGGACGGCCAGUGCCGCAACCCCUAUCCCCGCGCCCGCCACGCGAACCCGUUCUACCCCCAUGACUAUUACGCCCAGGACCGCUGCCGCGUCCCGUCUGCCUAGGGGCCCCAGCAACAGCUGCGGCGAGACGAGGACCGGGGUCCACGCGCGCCCGCUUGACUGGAGGCCCAUCUUCGUCAUAAUCCUGCAAAACAACAGAAUUCGAACGAAGAGCAGAACGGACUUUUCGUUCAGACAGGGCGCGCACUUCCUGGCCCAAAGCAUGCUGUACCAGGGCGUCGUAAGAGGGAAACGGCUUUCCAUAGACGUCUGUGGCGCAAUGGGGCUGCAGGGAAGAAGAAAGGCCUUCGAAAAACCAAAACAUACGCUCACUAGGAGUGAUCGUGGGUAUGUCCUGGAAAACGGCCUCAAGACGCGAAAGGUAAGCUGGUACACUUUCACCAGUGCGCAUCGCAAAAGAUUUGUCAGAAAGCCUAUGUCGUGCUUCUUGUUCUACAGAGAUAACUUGAGGAGCGAAACGCGUGCGCAGGUUAUCCAGAACAAGCUGAGCAGUAAGCUCGCGCUGUGAUAGAGACCACUCGUCAUACCACGUUUUUGCAGCGCCACGGAGCGCUUGCGACAAAAACAGGCAGCAUGACCGAUGGUCCCUACCCCAGGGCACGAUUUCGAAAAACAAAGACACGUCGCGGAUAAACGCCUUGACGUGGGCAGCAGUCUGCUUCGCAUCAAGCUUGGCAUCUAGCUGCAAAACAGGAGUCGGUAAACUAACCCGAGGGAGGUCGGCAGAAGAAAUCGGCCGAACCGAAGGCAAAGGCUCUGGCUCGGCUGCGGCUGCCGCCGCAACCGCAGCCCCAGCAGCAGCAGCCGCUUCCACCGCUAACGCACGCGCAGCCGCAGCACGGUGGUCCGCAUCUGUCGUCGGGGUUUCUGGUAUCACCAUUGGAACAUCCGGACGAUUCAUGUGAGUAUUUAGCGGGUUGUGCAGAGCAAAAGGGGCCAAAGAAGGCAAGGAGUGGAGACGUUCGUCACCAGUAGGACCAAGUGGCCUUAAACGAACAUUCUCGGCAGCCCCAGUGGGCAUAUGCAACAAAGGUGCUGCGGCAAAAGUUGAGAAUGGCGUUCGCGCAUCAGGUUCGCGAACAGCAACAGGGACCUCAAUAGGGCCGCCCGGACCUCUAGAAGUAGUAGGUGCACCGGGGUCGGAAACAAGUCCCGCAACAGUGUAGGCAGGCAAAGUGGAGCGAGCAUCAGGUGCGCCCGACGCCAUGUCUACACCAUUACGGUCGCCGCCCAAAUUAAACGGGGCGGGGCUAAACAUUUUAGCUAACUAAGAAGGGCCUACCCUUAUACAGCAAUGACGCAGUCACUGCCGCGGAUAGGGGAAGAGCUUGAAGUAGCGGCUCUACCUCAGUCGGGUCCAGCACACCCGUUCUAACCUCUGCAACAACAAUAUUCAUUAAUGAGCGAGGCAACCAAGGACAAAACAAUACAGAUGAUUACAAUCUUUCACUUACCCUGAAGAGCCGCCGCGAGCGCUCCAACACUGUAAGCCUAUGACCUUUACUAACAAUCGAGAUUGGUGCGGAAGAGCUGGUCGAGACCGAACGUCUCGAUACCACUUGUUGUAUCCACCUCCACUGUUUAGGUGGUAGUGAAAACUACCGAUUAGUGAAUGAGAAGAGGCUAAAUGCCUC
rnacentral:lncRNA from 1 species